rnacentral:lncRNA from 1 species
GUGAGGAAUAACACUAGGAAUAAGCUCUGGGGUAGAUCUCAUCGAUCAUGCGGUAAAAACAAUUACAUUCAGGGAUACCAGGAGCAAACACAAACGGAAACAGCAAUUUACAAAACCCUCUUUGACACCACUUCACCAUCACAAUUCUAUGAGCGGCCUUUGCAGUCAGCUUCAUCUUCACAUUGAAGAAAGACCUGACGAUGUAAAUCACCCUCUCUACAUCACAUAACCAGUAAGACACAAAGCUAAGACUUCAAGUUAGCUGCCUAACGUCAAUGACUUUCUUAAUCCACUCAAGAACGGUGCCACUUAGAUACCAAUCUUCAACCUCGUUCCUCCAAUUUGGAUUUUCCCAGCAUGUUGUAGCUAUUUUAAAAAUGCUUAGGACUGGAAAUUCCACCUGCAGCUCUGUGAAUAACCUGUGGCAUUCAAAGCCACUUAAGAUUGUCUGGGGAAUCUUGCUGCUUGUGAUGGGCAAGAGAUCUGGCCCUGGGGGUCACAAGAGUGAGAGAACUAGCCCUGCCCCACACCAGCUGCAGCGCACAGGAGAGUGAGCCCUACACCCAG